rnacentral:lncRNA from 1 species
AAGAUUGAAAAAUUUAUUCCGAAAAGGACUUCUUAUAUUCAAAACUCAGAGUCGCCACUUGGCAUAAAUCGGGUGUGCCAAGUCACCUUUGGAAAUCUCUUUUCAAAACAAUUUGACUCUUUAAACUGGUUUGCAAAUAGAGAUUCCGGCUAAGGAAUUCUGUUGACUGAGGGGAAGGUGUUAGGCACCCCUUGAUCCCGUGGUUCGACCACGGUCUCUUGGUAGAGCGUAUUGGCUAAUUUGACAUUAUAAAUGUAUAAACCACACAAAGCAUGCAAAACAAUCAGUCAUGCAAACAAAACAAAAUAAAUCAAAAUUAGUGUCCAGUCCAAUUAUACAGUCCAAAAUAGAAAAAUCCGUAAAAUAUAAAUCCUAUUUUAAGCUAAUCCUAAAACUGCGUUCCAAUGCCUUGCUCGAUGCCUCAGGCCUUGAUCACGAGCCUCCUCUGCGUAUAUGAUACUUUGGGGCAUUCCCCAGAUAAAUCAAUACAAAUCUCUCGGGGCAUUCCCCAGCCAAAUGAAUACAUUAGAAUCAAAUACGGCCCACGCACAUUCAAAUGUUCAACUAGACACAAGUUCUAAAUUUGCCUUCCCAAACCUACAUUUGCCUAUCUGUUUCAAUAAAAUUCAUGCUUAUUCCAAAUUAAACCGCUAAUAAUGAAUUAAAACAAAUAUGUAUUCACUUUUAUCAAUUUUAAUUCCGCCCCAAACAACCAAUUUUAAUUCUCAAAUGAGAUGCUAUUUGACCUUACAAAUCAUAAUCAAAGGAACCAACCGCGAAUCAAAACAAAUAUGCAUUCAUAACCAACAAGGAUCAAAUAAAACACACAAUAUUCAAUCUAACACACCAAAAUAUAGUAAAUAAUGAAAUAAAAAGAGAGAUAAUAGAAUUGGACCUCGAUUCGUAGCUUUCUAACUCAAUGUUAUUCGAAUAAAGAGAAUCCGCACCCGAAAACCUCGAACCGAACCUCAAAUAAAUGAACUCAUCCAACUUACAACUGAGAAUUAUAGAAACAAAGAGACCUAGACCAGAUUCUCAUGAACCCACACAACCUCGAACUAAAAAUCAUGAGAAAUAAGAGAAAUACGGCCUGAUUCCAAUGGAUUUGGACAAAAUCAAAAGCAGAUCAAUGUUUGUUUGAUGACUUUGUGUCACUGUAACCCCGGUAAACUUUGGCAAUGACCAAAACGACAAAGAGAUAUCAGUUGAGACGUAUUCGAUGGGUUUUGAAUGAAUUUAUGACAACUAGAUGCGAUUCCAGUGAGCCUAUCACCGAAACAGUAAUCAAAUGACCAAACUCAUGUUCCUCAAGCUCUUACUUGCCGGAAACUACUUCGCCAUCAUUCGCUUUCGAUUUCAAUCGCGGAUCUCUCCCUCUCUCACAAAUCUCUAUCACUCUCUCCCAGAUAUCUCUCUCGCAGAUCUCUCUCACUUUCUCGCAGUUCUCUCUUUCUCACGUCAUCUCUUAUCUAUCUAUUUCUGUGUGUAUCCCGGUGGAAUUAAGAGUGUGUAGUGUAUAUGGGUGUGUGACGGUGAGGUCAGUGUGAGGGUGCAUUCUGUAUGUAUACAGGCACUGUUUUCAUGAAAUCUGGGUGCGUGUGCGUUGUUUAUUAGUGUGUGAAUGAAUUCUGUGAAGAUGAAAAAAAAAUGGAGAGUUCCAAUGAGCUCCUCCUUUUGGUGAAUAAUGGUGGAGUGUGUGAAUCUCUCCCCCCUUUUCAUUGAAAACAAAGUGAGCCUUAUCUGAAAAUGUGGAAACCAGUGAAGUCAAUUGUAUGUGGGGCCCCCUUCUCCUUUUGUGAUUAUUCCCUAUAUAGCUAUUUUCAAUUAGAAAGAGAAGAAAAUAAAAAGAAUCCUCAUGUGAGCCCCACCCUCUUUUUUGUUGUUAGUCCAUUCCCUUAUCUCAUUUUGUUAAGGCGAAAAAAG